UACAGAGGUCUCAAGCGUUGUUCGGAUUCAUUGGGCGUAAAGGGCGCGUAGGCGGCGGGGUAAGUCGGGUGUGAAAUCUCAGAGCUCAACUCUGAAACUGCACUCGAUACUGCUCUGCUUGAGGACUGGAGAGGAGACUGGAAUUCACGGUGUAGCAGUGAAAUGACGUAGAUAUCGUGAGGAAGACCAGUGGCGAAGGCGGGAUCUCUGGACAGUUCCGUGACGCUGAGGGCGCGAAAGGCCAGGGGGAGCCAAAGCGGG
rnacentral:rRNA from 1 species